AUGGUGGUUCACUAUACCCAUUAAGUAUACAUUUUAACUUUAACCAAUACCACAUGUCGACUACUUCAGGGUGUUGGUUCACUAUACCCAUUAAGUAUACAUUUUAACUUUAACCAAUACCACAUGUCGACUACUUCAGGGUGUUGGUUCACUCUACCCAUUAAGUAUACAUUUUAACUUUAACCAAUACCACAUGUCGACUACUUCAGGGUGUUGGUUCACUAUACCCAUUAAGUAUACAUUUUAAUUUUAACCGAUACCACAUGUCGACUACUUCAGGGUGUUGGUUCACUAUACCCAUUAAGUAUACAUUUUAAUUUUAACCGAUACCACAUGUCGACUACUUCAGGGUGUUGGUUCACUAUACCCAUUAAGUAUACAUUUUAACUUUAACUGAUACUACAUGUCGACUACUUCAGGGUGUUGGUUCACUAUACCCAUUAAGUAUACAUUUUAACUUUAACUGAUACCACAGGUCGACUACUUCAGGGUGUUGGUUCACUAUACCCAUUAAGUAUACAUUUUAACUUUAACUGAUACCACAGGUCGACUACUUCAGGGUGUUGGUUCACUAUACCCAUUAAGUAUACAUUUUAACUUUAACUGAUACCACAGGUCGACUGCUUCAGGGUGUUGGUUCACUAUACCCAUUAAGUAUACAUUUUAACUUUAACCAAUACCACAUGUCGACUACUUCAGGGUGUUGGUUCACUUUACCCAUUAAGUAUACAUUUUAACUUUAACCGAUACCACAUGUCGACUACUUCAGGGUGUUGGUUCACUAUACCCAUUAAGUAUACAUUUUAACUUUAACCAAUACCACAUGUCAACUACUUCAGGGUGUUGGUUCACUAAACCCAUUAAGUAUACAUUUUAACUUUAACU